UACAUAUAUGUUUAUACAGUUAUAAACAUAUAAAAUCAAAUAAUGGCUAGUGUUAGGAUGUCCUUGGAACCACAGUAGAGGGGACGGCCAUCUUGCCAGGGCAACCCAAUGAAAAGCCCCUAGUAGCUGCCAGAACUAGUUGGAGGUCAACCAAUCACCGAGCGACAGCACGACCUGACGCGAAAAAGGCCCACCUGGACCUAAACCCGGAACCGCUGCAGCUUAAAACCCCCACCCCACCACACCUGGGGGCGACUUCCCUGACUCCUCUCUCUCUCUCUCUCUCUCUGAGUCACGGAACCUCGCCCAAGGCCUUAGUUCCCAAAUAAAGCCUUCGACUGCUAAAAAUUUUUUAGCCUCUGACUCCUCUCUUUACCCUGCCUUACUCCUGACCCUAACAUUUGGUGCUGAAACCCGGGGGGAGGUAGUAGCUCGCCUCCCUUGGCUGAGCUCCCUCCUUGCCAAGCCAGAGGCCAACCAUCCUACUCUCAAGCGCCUACAGGAGCCGGGGACGACAGACUCGCAAGGCCCCCACGUGGCGAGGCUUCACCCCGAUUGGACUCUGCCUUCCAAAUGCUGGAGAUGGAGGAUGACGAGUGACGAGGCCCAGACUCAGUAACUCCAGUGACCCACGCUGAGCCCAGGGUAAAACUCCAGGAAGCAGCCAGAUCAGAUCCGUCGCCCAUUAUCACCAAUAAGAGGUUAGAAUGUUAGGAUGUC